GUUAAUGUAGCUUAAAAUUUAAAGCAAAGCACUGAAAAUGCUUAAAUGAGAUAUAAACUCCAUAAACA
rnacentral:tRNA from 1 species